rnacentral:snRNA from 1 species
AGAGAAUGGCGUGAACCCGGGAAGGGGAGCUUGCAGUGAGCAGAGAUUGUGCCACUGGACUCCAGCCUGGGCGACAGAG